GAUAGAUUGGUGUAGUGGUAUCAUGUCUGAUUCCAGAUCUUAUCUGAGUUUCCAGAAGGUCACCCGUUCAAUCCGGGUACGACUCA
rnacentral:tRNA from 1 species